UACGUCACCCAAACAAAAGCACUGUCUUGAGCUCUGAAUGCAGUUAGUGCUACUUGUUGGGGUAGUUUUG
rnacentral:pre_miRNA from 1 species